UACGUAGGGUCCGAGCGUUGUCCGGAUUUAUUGGGCGUAAAGAGCUCGUAGGCGGUUUGUCGCGUCUGCUGUGAAAACUCGGGGCUUAACUCCGGGCCUGCAGUGGGUACGGGCAGACUAGAGUGCGGUAGGGGAGACUGGAAUUCCUGGUGUAGCGGUGAAAUGCGCAGAUAUCAGGAGGAACACCGGUGGCGAAGGCGCCACUCUGGGCCGAAACUGACGCUGAGGAGCGAAAGCGUGGGUAGCAAACAGG
rnacentral:rRNA from 1 species